UCCUUGGUGUUACCGGCACUGCCCCCAAGGUUCUUACUGAACAAGACUAUGAUGGGGCAAAGGCAGACAUGUGGUCAUGUGGAGUGAUACUAUUUGUGCUACUUACUGGUUACUUGCCUUUUGAGGAUUCUAGUCUCACGACGUUGUACAAAAAAGUAAAAAGUUUGUAAUAUAUUUUCAGGCUUCACCCUCACCAUUAUCUGUGAUUCGUGUUUCUAUGUUGCAUUUUUGUCCCUUUUUUCAGAUCUCAUCUGCUGAAUUCAGGCUCAUAGAGGUUUAAGUUGUGCAGGUUGUUGGUUCAGCAAAGUUCUAUGUCGAAAGAGAUGAAACACCAUGUGCCUGCAAACCAUAAGAAAGACAUUUCCCUGAAACUUGUAUGCGGGUCUGUCGCUGGAUUGCUUGGUCAGACCUUGACAUACCCUCUUGAAGGUUGGAAGCAGUUCGUCUUAGUAAUGUUAGUUUUAUUUUGUUCAUGUAAAGUUUGUUUCUUUGUAAUGUUAGUUUUAUUUUGUUUAAGACUUGGUGGCACUUAUGUAAGACUUAUUUUGGUUAAUGUAAUAUUA